GCCACCCACCGGCGGAGGACCAGAUGGGGCCGGGACCUGGGACCUCAAGCUCCCCCGUCCAACACCUGCUCGACAGGUUGCGCCAGCGAGAGGGCCUCACACCAUCUGGCCGCCCCAACAAUGAUAGCUAGCCGGGUAUAUAUCUCGGCUCGCCGGAUCUGCAUCGGCUUCAAGGGCCUAGCUCGCUGCUCAACACCAGUACUCAGAGAGCAGAAGGACCUGUCCAGUGCAGUUUUUGCUCUGGAGCAAGGGCCAACCAAGAGCCCGCGGGAGAGGUGGGUUGCAACUUGCAUUUGGUGGAUGUUAUUAUAAGAAAAGUAUAGUUUCACUUAUUUUUAAAUGGUACUUCCUCUCUAAACUAAUAUAAAAGCGUUUAGAUCACUACUUUAGUAUUCUAAACGUUCUUAUAUUAGUUUAUAGAGGGAGUACUAACUAAAUUAUGUCAGAGAGCAGAAGGGGCCUGCAUCCAGAAUUCUCUCAAGGCUCGGCUCGGCUCAUUCAAGAUUGUUUUAGAGCCACCAAACAGCGAGUGAUUGAAGGAAGCGUCGCAGUCGGACCAGUACUUGUUUCACUAUACACAUGUUUGCACCUUUUUCUCAUCUUGCUUUGUUUGCUCCUUUUCCAUUCCCUAUAGUCAUGUUUCUUGUGUGUGUCAAGGAUAUCCAAAGACGACAUACACACACUUCAGUUCAGGUGCCCCUACCAUUGACUCGAAUCGAAUCUUAUGUUGCUCACUACUUGACUAGCCGUUUGACAACCUCCCUAAAACAGCCAACGCGGAACUUGCCUCUAACUCUCAUGUACAACUUCUUUAAGGGAAAAUGUUUCUUCAGGUAUAACUUAUUUAUAUAAAUCCUAGUUUUUUUGGUAUGAUGAAUUUCUUUUCAAAAAAAUUGCUUUCAUCACAUAGAAUUCAUUAUACGUGCUUGCUUCGAAGUAUUUGUAUUUUUGAGCAGUGCUAAUUCGUUCAGACGUUGGGGAGGGAAAAUAGUUACACCAUGUUUCUUCAUGGAAUACGUCAAAACCCGCAAAAGUCUUAAAAAACGAAGAACCUCUUCUCUAGACAAUAGCAUACUCUGGUCCGGCGGCGUGCGUAGAAGCCAAACAUCAAAAUAUUUUAUAAAAUAAUAAUGUUGGCUUUCAUUUUGGUGUUGAGCUUACACCGGAAUUUGUAAUCCGUGUGGCAUCGUGUUGGGGGCCGCUGCGUGUUGCACUCUGUAUUGGACCCUAAGGCGGUCGAGAUUUGGUCGCGUAAACUCAUAUCACUACCGGAAUAACCCUAUAUGCCUACGGCCUUAUCUAUGCCGACGGUUUUUUGUCGGGGCCGUCGGCAUAACUCAAGCUACGCAGACGGCCUGGGAAAAGCCGUCGGCAUAGAGAAGCCGUCGGCAUACCUCCAUCUAUGCCUACGGCAGUCGUAGGCAUAGUUAGGCCGUCGGCAUAUAUCGAUCUAUGCCUACGGUGGCCGUAGGCAUAGUUAGGCUGUCGGCAUAGAUGUGGCCCUGGUGGCCCAGGGACAAACGGCGGGCUGACGCCGUCAAAUCUAUGCCGACGGCCCUGACGGCGGCCGUCAGCAUAGAUAUUAUCUAUAUUUUUUUACUAGGAGCUGUCACGUGGCAGAUCUAUGCCGACAGCAAAGCCGUAGGCAUAGUUUUCCAUCUAUGCCUACGGCCUUGCCGUCGGCAUAGCCCCGCCACGUGGCACCUCCUGGCAGCCCCUGGCUGAGAACUAUGCCUACGGCAUGGCCGUAGGCAUAGAUAUUAUUUGUUUUUAUUUUAAAAUUCUUUUAAGUUAAAUUUUGUUUAAUUUAAAUCUAACUUAUCUAAACUUAAACAUACACAAAUUAUACAUCGAUUUAGGGUAGAAUUUUCCAUAGAUUAUGAAUAUCCAAUUUGUUUUUGUUUUUGGGUAUGUUAGAAAUGUGGCCUUCUGUACUUUUGCAUAUAGGUCCUUCUGCUUUAUUAAAAUCAUAAGUAAUUGAUACUUGGAUUGAUUUUGACGAAAUUCAUAUGGUUUUUUAUCAGAAUCUUGAAAGGAUUAUGUGCUAUCUAUGUUUCAAAUUUGAACAAACUUAAAUCAUGUUUGCUUCAUCAGACUGUUUCAAGGAUUGUGGUGGCGGGUGCAAAGGCAACUGGCUCAGGAGUGUGACCCUUCAUGGACGCCGAUGCCGUUGUCACUUGGAGGGAGGAAACGGCCAUGUUGGGUUGACACGAAGGGAAUCUUAUGGUGGGUUUGUCCCAGACCUUGUUCUCAAGUGUUCCUAUGGGCCGACCUAUCACAACCAGGUGAAAACGUCCAUUGGUCAAAGAUCGUCCGGUGAAAGUCAAAGGCGUAGAUUUCCGGGUCAACUUGUCCAGGGUUCGGCUGACCGGGGGCCUUGGGGGGGGGGGGGGGGGACAAUGCCACGAGAGCAUCGCGCCGAGUCCUCAUACAUGUCGAAAGAUGUGGUGCCAUGUCUAAAGAGGCAAUACGCGGCUCCGGUGUGAGGUUUGCCCUCAUGAACGGCGAUGCAAUCGAAGUAAUCCUUCUGCGGUUUUGGCGUUGCAUGAAUAUUCCUGAACACUUGAAGCGUAAUCAAUUCAUGAGAUUUUUACAUAGUGCAGACACAUAUGAUAUAAUAUGUGUGGCAAUUUAUUAUAUUUUUGUAAGAUGCAGGAGUAUGUGAAAAAUCCCCCACCAUGGAUUGUUCUUCGCAUGUCUACGAGUGUGGUCGGGGGCCUUUGGGGGUUAGCUAUGCCAUCAAAUCUUGCGCCAGGUCCUCUUACAUGUCUGGAAGUAUGCUGUCAGGUGCAAACAAACGACACGCGGCUCCGGAAUGUGACCCCCUUCACGGAAGGCGCUGCCGCCGACACUUGCAGGGGGGGGGGGAAUGGCCGCAUCGGGUCGACACGAGGGGGGUCCGCUGGUGUGUUGGGCCCAGACCUUGUUUUGAAAUGUUCCUAUGGGCUGACCUAUCACAACCAGGUGGAAAAGUACGUUGGUCAAAGGCUGUUCGGUGAAAGUCAAAGGCCUAGAUCUUCGGGUCAACCGGGCUAGGAUUAGGUCGGUCGGGGGCCUUGGGGGUAUCAAUGGUACCAAAACUUGCAUUGUGUCUUAAUAUAUGUAUACAAGUGCGAUGGAGGGUUGAAAUAGACAAUGGAGGAAUGGGCAACGCAUUUCAUUCACAAACCAGACCCGUUCUCUCUCGAUAGCUAGAUACUAACUCGAAGAUGCUGCAGUUUACAAGCGGCCUCCGGUCAGGCUUUUGCGAAACGCGCUCAAACUUUUACCACACCCUACAAGGGGCAUAUGAAGACACUGUGCCCGGUCCCGGGGAUUUCCGGCAUCGUAUGAUUUUCCACAGAUUUUUACGGCUUGAUCUGGCAUGCCACCAAGGUGGCCGUCGUGCAGAUCUGCAAUUCCCCGCAUUGAAACCCUACGGAUGCAGUAAAUUUCUCAAAUAAUCCAGGCGGGCCCGAAAAAUGCCAUGUCCUGGCACGUGUCAUAAAAUGGCCCCCUUUGAGAGCAUGAGAAUUUUUUAGGUCAACGGAGCAACAGCCAGCGCAGUUCCUUCACAAACCGAAACAUUCUCUCUCUAUAGCAAGAUACUAACUCGAAGAUGGUGCAGUUUACAAGUGGCCGCCGGUCAGACUUCUGCGAAACGCGCUCAAAUUUUACCACACCUUACAAGGGCCAUAUGAAGACACCGUGCCAGGUCCCGAGGAUUUCCGACAUCGUAUGAUUUUUCGUGGAUUUUUACGGCUAGAUCUGACAUCUCGUCGAGGUGGCCGCUGUGCAGAUAUGUGAUUUCCCGCAUUGAAACCCUACGGAUGCAGUAAAUGUCUCAAAUAUUCCAGGCGUGCCCGAAAAAUGCCAUGUCCUGGCACGUUUCAUGAAAUGGCCCCCUUUGAGAGCAUGAGAAUUUUUGGGGUCAAUGGAGCAACGGGCAGCGCAGUUCCUUCACAAACCGAAACAUUAUCUCUCUAUAGCAAGAUACUAACCCAAAGAUGGUGCGGUUUACAAGUGGCCGCCGGUCAGACUUUUGCGAAACACGCUCAAAUUUUUACCACACCUUACAAGGGCCAUAUGAAGACACCGUGCCAGGUCCCGAGGAUUUCCGGCAUCGUAUGAUUUUCCGUGGAUUUUUACGGCUAGAUCCGACAUGCCGCCGAGGUACAUUCGCCCCCCAGUGGUGGCCGCCGUGCAGAUCUGCAUUUUUCCACAUUGAAGCCCUACAGAUGCAGUAAAUGUCUCAAAUAUUCCAGGCGGUCGCAAAAAAUGCCAUGCCCGGGAACGUGUCAUGAAAUGCCCCCCUUUGAGAGCACGAGAAGUUUCGAGGUCAACGGAGCAACGUGCAACACACUUCCUUCAUAAACCGGACACGUUCCCUCUCGAUAGCCAGAUACUAACUCGAAGAUGGUACAGUUUACAAGUGGCUGGAUCCGGCAUGCCGCUGUGAUCCUCCUCUCCCCUCACAGAUCGCCGGUAGCCGGGUCCGCCGGACCUCGUCCUGCCGCGUCCAUCCAUGCGUCAGGAUCCACUCCUUCCAUCCACCCACAACCCUACCUCGUGGCUAGGGUUUCGAUGGCCUCCACCUCUAGCGCUGCUCCGAUGGUGGCGAGGCCAGAGGACGCCAGACCCUUCACCGGCGUGCACGCGGUUAGCACUUGCCCUCCUUCAGCGGUCCAAGAGAGUAAAAAAAUUUAGAAGAAAAACAAAAGGGAGAACACAAUUGCAUGAGCUUGAUUCC